rnacentral:misc_RNA from 1 species
AACGCACCUUGCGCUCCUUGGUAUUCCGAGGAGCAUGCCUGUUUGAGUGUCGUGAAAUCAUCAACUCUCUUGCUUUAUUGUAAGAUGAGCUUGGACUUGGAGACUGCUGGUGUAAAUCAGCUUCUCUUGAAUGCAUUAGCUGGAAUUCAGUUCGCAGCAAUAUAUGCGGUGUGAUAAUGUCGUCACUGUGUAGCUCGUCCUGUCUGGCUUCUAAUCGUCCUUCACGGGACAAUUUGAUCAUUUUGACCUCAAAUCAGGUAGGACUACCCGCUGAACUUAA